UUGAACGCUGGCGGCAGGCCUAACACAUGCAAGUCGAGCGGUAGCACAGAGAGCUUGCUCUCGGGUGACGAGCGGCGGACGGGUGAGUAAUGUCUGGGAAACUGCCUGAUGGAGGGGGAUAACUACUGGAAACGGUAGCUAAUACCGCAUAACGUCGCAAGACCAAAGUGGGGGACCUUCGGGCCUCAUGCCAUCAGAUGUGCCCAGAUGGGAUUAGCUAGUAGGUGGGGUAACGGCUCACCUAGGCGACGAUCCCUAGCUGGUCUGAGAGGAUGACCAGCCACACUGGAACUGAGACACGGUCCAGACUCCUACGGGAGGCAGCAGUGGGGAAUAUUGCACAAUGGGCGCAAGCCUGAUGCAGCCAUGCCGCGUGUGUGAAGAAGGCCUUCGGGUUGUAAAGCACUUUCAGCGGGGAGGAAGGCGGUGAGGUUAAUAACCUCAUCGAUUGACGUUACCCGCAGAAGAAGCACCGGCUAACUCCGUGCCAGCAGCCGCGGUAAUACGGAGGGUGCAAGCGUUAAUCGGAAUUACUGGGCGUAAAGCGCACGCAGGCGGUCUGUCAAGUCGGAUGUGAAAUCCCCGGGCUCAACCUGGGAACUGCAUUCGAAACUGGCAGGCUAGAGUCUUGUAGAGGGGGGUAGAAUUCCAGGUGUAGCGGUGAAAUGCGUAGAGAUCUGGAGGAAUACCGGUGGCGAAGGCGGCCCCCUGGACAAAGACUGACGCUCAGGUGCGAAAGCGUGGGGAGCAAACAGGAUUAGAUACCCUGGUAGUCCACGCCGUAAACGAUGUCGAUUUGGAGGUUGUGCCCUUGAGGCGUGGCUUCCGGAGCUAACGCGUUAAAUCGACCGCCUGGGGAGUACGGCCGCAAGGUUAAAACUCAAAUGAAUUGACGGGGGCCCGCACAAGCGGUGGAGCAUGUGGUUUAAUUCGAUGCAACGCGAAGAACCUUACCUGGUCUUGACAUCCACAGAACUUUCCAGAGAUGGAUUGGUGCCUUCGGGAACUGUGAGACAGGUGCUGCAUGGCUGUCGUCAGCUCGUGUUGUGAAAUGUUGGGUUAAGUCCCGCAACGAGCGCAACCCUUAUCCUUUGUUGCCAGCGGUUAGGCCGGGAACUCAAAGGAGACUGCCAGUGAUAAACUGGAGGAAGGUGGGGAUGACGUCAAGUCGUCAUGGCCCUUACGACCAGGGCUACACACGUGCUACAAUGGCAUAUACAAAGAGAAGCGACCUCGCGAGAGCAAGCGGACCUCAUAAAGUAUGUCGUAGUCCGGAUUGGAGUCUGCAACUCGACUCCAUGAAGUCGGAAUCGCUAGUAAUCGUAGAUCAGAAUGCUACGGUGAAUACGUUCCCGGGCCUUGUACACACCGCCCGUCACACCAUGGGAGUGGGUUGCAAAAGAAGUAGGUAGCUUAACCUUCGGGAGGGCGCUUACCACUUUGUGAUUCAUGACUGGGGUG
rnacentral:rRNA from 1 species